CAUCGGAAGCACUCUGGUGAUUAUAUCUGGGUUGUUCUUCCUUGCCAGUGUCAUCAUUUUUUUGAAAGCCAGAAAUCUGACAAAGUGUGCAGAAAAUGCAAUGAUCAGGAGCACCUAUGACUCAGUUAAUAUUAAUGCAUUGGCGGCGUCCAAUUACUCGUCACUUG